GACGAACGCUGGCGGCGCGCCUAACACAUGCAAGUCGAACGGACCUACCCGACGAACCAGCUUGCUGGGGAGAUGGGGACGGUUAGUGGCGGACGGGUGAGUAACACGUGAGCAAUCUGCCUCUCUGAGGGGGAUAACAGUUGGAAACGACUGCUAAUACCGCAUACCUCACAACCAUGGCAUCAUGGAUGUGAGAAAGGAGUUAAAUCCGCAGAGAGAUGAGCUCGCGCCUGAUUAGCUAGUUGGGGAGAUAACAGCCCACCAAGGCAACGGUCAGUAGCCGGACUGAGAGGUUGAACGGCCACAUUGGGACUGAGACACGGCCCAAACUCCUACGGGAGGCAGCAGUGGGGAAUAUUGCACAAUGGGGGAAACCCUGAUGCAGCGACGCCGCGUGAAGGAAGAAGUAUUUCGGUAUGUAAACUUCUAUCAGCAGGGAAGAAAAUGACGGUACCUGACUAAGAAGCCCCGGCUAAUUACGUGCCAGCCGC
rnacentral:rRNA from 1 species